rnacentral:lncRNA from 1 species
UGGGGAAGAGAGACAGGCUAAGAGCGCAGCGUCUAAAGAGACCACCCGGCCCGGGGUUCCGAGGCUGCUUUGUAAAUUAAAUAUGAACAGACUGGUGCGCUCACACUCCAAGCGUCCCUCCCUCUCCCCUACUCCUGCCGUCGCUACGGGCGGCCCAGCGGGCUGAGACCAUCGCAUCUUGCUCAGCCCCAGUUCAGAACACAGAACUUCACACCGCCUGCUCGGGCCUGGAGUCCCCCCCCGCCGACCCAUGGGGAGGGCGCAAGGCGCCUUUCAGGGAAGGUGUCUUCGAAAAUGGUCGAGGGGUGAGAGCACUGUGACCCGUCCCUGCCGGGGAUCCUGUGGUGGGACAGCCAGGAUUGGGUCCCUAGCCCGGGGGAGGCAGAAUCUGGGUAAUGGAAGGGAGAAUGGGCUCGCUAUCUGCCCAGAGCUUCCCUGGACUGCAGGAACCCGUCCUAUAAGCAACCCCGAAACUUCGGGGCCCGAGGACCAGGGAAGACCCCCUUUCCUUGCUGUCUUGACAGGGUUGCAGAAGCCAAGGAGUUCGGCAGGGAGACGGGGCUCCUGGGGUGGUUAAGGACGCGGUGACCACCCCUGGGCGGGAGCUGACUCCCGCGGGCCCGGAGGCUCUAGCUCACUCUACAGCAAAUGCUUUUGUUCCCGGAGGCUGCCCUGGGGGAAAGACGCCCCUUACCCCUGCCUUCGACCCUGGAGAGCCCAGUGCCCGCCCGGGCAGGGCUGGAGCCCGAGUCGCCCCAGGCAGAGUCCGCCGAGGCCUGGGGUGGGAGCCGCGACUUCUGGAUCUGCCUCCGAGCUCAGCUAGAAGACUGCGCGCACCUCGUCCGGCGCCGUCCGGCGCGCAGAAGCGGGUCUAAUGUUUAUAACGUUAAUAAUGACAGUUAGGGAGGGCUGUGGAGCCGGGAACCAAGACCUCAUCCCGCCGCCGCCCACGUCUUUGAUCAUUAAAGAAACAGACAACUAAUCAGGUGUGUGGAAGUAGGGGUGGGGGAGGGGAGGGUGACAAGGUUCCAAGCCGCUAGCGCAGAGGGUCCCAGAUUCAGAAUCUGCCGAAUCCAGACUAAGGCUUCUAACCAGGCUGGAGCCGACCCCAGACAGACCCAGGAAUGGAGAGCUGGAGCCCCUGGCCGCUUUCUGCGGAUCGACCCUUAACUUCAACGUCGCGAACCCGGAGCGUCGGGAGGGUGGGGAGGGUUGAAACCGGUUGGAUCUGGGGACUUGCUCCAGCGACUCCAUCCGCGC